GCAUUAGUAGCUCAACUCAGAGCAUCGGCCUUGUAAGCCGAAUGCUGGAGGUUAAAGUCCCCCCUACUGCU
rnacentral:tRNA from 2 species